rnacentral:rRNA from 1 species
ACGAUGCAUAGCCGACCUGAGAGGGUGAUCGGCCACACUGGGACUGAGACACGGCCCAGACUCCUACGGGAGGCAGCAGUAGGGAUUCUUCGGCAAUGGACGAAAGUCUGACCGAGCAACGCCGCGUGAGUGAAGAAGGUUUUCGGAUCGUAAAACUCUGUUGUUAGAGAAGAACAAGGAUGAGAGUAGAACGUUCAUCCCUUGACGGUAUCUAACCAGAAAGCCACGGCUAACUACGUGCCAGCAGCCGCGGUAAUACGUAGGUGGCAAGCGUUGUCCGGAUUUAUUGGGCGUAAAGCGAGCGCAGGCGGUUUCUUAAGUCUGAUGUGAAAGCCCCCGGCUCAACCGGGGAGGGUCAUUGGAAACUGGGAGACUUGAGUGCAGAAGAGGAGAGUGGAAUUCCAUGUGUAGCGGUGAAAUGCGUAGAUAUAUGGAGGAACACCAGUGGCGAAGGCGGCUCUCUGGUCUGUAACUGACGCUGAGGCUCGAAAGCGUGGGGAGCGAACAGGAUUAGAUACCCUGGUAGUCCACGCCGUAAACGAUGAGUGCUAAGUGUUGGAGGGUUUCCGCCCUUCA